rnacentral:rRNA from 1 species
UACGAGGGGGGCGAGCGUUGUUCGGAAUUAUUGGGCGUAAAGGGUGCGUAGGCGGUUUGGUAAGUCUUGUGUGAAAUCUACAGGCUCAACUUGUAGUCUGCACGAGAAACUGCCGGGCUUGAGUGUGGGAGAGGUGAGUGGAAUUCCUGGUGUAGCGGUGAAAUGCGUAGAUAUCAGGAGGAACACCUGUGGCGAAAGCGGCUCACUGGACCAUAACUGACGCUGAGGUGCGAAAGCGUGGGGAGCAAACAGG